UAGAAAAUAGUUUAAUUAGUAAAACCAAGAAAUUUGAAUUCUUAGAUACAAGUGCAACCCUUGUUUUCCUAA
rnacentral:tRNA from 1 species